UGAAGAAACAAACAUUCAACAAUUGCUCUCCCCAAAAAUGAAGCUCCCAGAGACAAAAGAAUGGCACGUCACACUGUACAUCGCACCUUGCAAUAAAUCAAUAUUAAACUACACUGAUGCCAUUUAACAUGCUUUUGUCCAAGUAAACAUAAUUUUUGUUUUCCUUGACUCUAAAUCUCACAGGAAUUACUCAGCACUUCAAAUGAAGAUAAAGUUUGCUUGCUUUUCCUGAAAAGUACUUAGCAGUGAUUUCUAUAACUUACUAAUAAUCUACAGUUAUAUCCGAAAAUGAAUGAUGAGGACAGAACUUGGCGACCUGAGUAGAGCAUAUCUGGCUGUCAGUGAUAUCUGGACACCAGGACUGUCUUAAAUUGAUGAAGGUAAAGAGCGACUGACUGGAAGCCCACCUCAAGGAGACAAGUCUUAGCUAUACUGGUCUCGAUAAUACAUGCUCAUUAAUAACUUACGUGUCAUUUGCUAUAGAUUUGCCAUGCUGUAAUAUUCAGCAUAGCACAUGAAAAAAAUCAACAUUCGAAAAACAUAUUAGACAUUUCUGUAUUGAAUACUUAUAGAGGAACAAUUAGUAAUUACAGUUUCAAGUCUUUGGCUUUGACUUGUUUUGACUUUUGCCCUUCUUCAAGCAUAAUCUCCAAGAGCUGAUCUGAAGAAAAACAUGAAAAUGUAUAAAAACUUCCUAUUUGUAGCAGUAAGAUAAAAAGUCCUGUCAAAGAACAACUUGAAAUUAUCUAUCUUGAAUUU
rnacentral:lncRNA from 1 species